GGGGCUGUAGCUCAGCUGGAUAGAGCGGUCGCCUCCUAAGCGACAGGUCGUGGGUUCGAAUCCCGCCAGUCCCACCA
rnacentral:tRNA from 1 species